UCCUACGGGAGGCAGCAGUCGGGAAUUUUGCGCAAUGGGGGAAACCCUGACGCAGCAAUACCGCGUGUGGGAUGAAGGCCUUCGGGUCGUAAACCACUUUUUUCGGGGACGAUAAUGACGGUACCCGAAGAAUAAGCCACGGCUAACUACGUGCCAGCAGCCGCGGUAAUA
rnacentral:rRNA from 1 species